rnacentral:rRNA from 1 species
UGGGGAAUUUUGGACAAUGGGCGAAAGCCUGAUCCAGCAAUGCCGCGUGUGUGAAGAAGGCCUUCGGGUUGUAAAGCACUUUUGUCCGGAAAGAAAUCCUUGGCUCUAAUACAGUCGGGGGAUGACGGUACCGGAAGAAUAAGCACCGGCUAACUACGUGCCAGCAGCCGCGGUAAUACGUAGGGUGCAAGCGUUAAUCGGAAUUACUGGGCGUAAAGCGUGCGCAGGCGGUUUGCUAAGACCGAUGUGAAAUCCCCGGGCUCAACCUGGGAACUGCAUUGGUGACUGGCAGGCUAGAGUAUGGCAGAGGGGGGUAGAAUUCCACGUGUAGCAGUGAAAUGCGUAGAGAUGUGGAGGAAUACCGAUGGCGAAGGCAGCCCCCUGGGCCAAUACUGACGCUCAUGCACGAAAGCGUGGGGAGCAAACAGGAUUAGAUACCCU